GUUGUUCUACCUAUAGGGUUGC
rnacentral:piRNA from 1 species